CGACUCUCGACAACGGAUAUCCCGGCUCUCGCAUCGAUGAAGAACGUAGCGAAAUGCGAUACUUGGUGUGAAUUGCAGAAUCCCGUGAACCAUCGAGUCUUUGAACGCAAGUUGCGCCCGAAGCCACUAGGUCGAGGGCACGUCUGCCUGGGUGUCACGC
rnacentral:rRNA from 1 species